GCCUUCGUGGUGUAAUUGGAAGCAUACUCGACGUUCAUUCGAGAGGUCUAGGGUUCGAAUCUCGGCGAAGGCA